rnacentral:rRNA from 1 species
AUUGAACGCUGGCGGCAGGCUUAACACAUGCAAGUCGAGCGGGGGAAGGUAGCUUGCUACUGGACCUAGCGGCGGACGGGUGAGUAAUGCUUAGGAAUCUGCCUAUUUGUGGGGGACGACAUCUCGAAAGGGAUGCUAAUACCGCAUACGUCCUACGGGAGAAAGCAGGGGAUCUUCGGACCUUGCGCUAAUAGAUGAGCCUAAGUCGGAUUAGCUAGUUGGUGGGGUAAAGGCCUACCAAGGCGACGAUCUGUAGCGGGUCUGAGAGGAUGAUCCGCCAAACUGGGACUGAGACACGGCCCAGACUCCUACGGGAGGCAGCAGUGGGGAAUAUUGGACAAUGGGGGGAACCCUGAUCCAGCCAUGCCGCGUGUGUGAAGAAGGCCUUAUGGUUGUAAAGCACUUUAAGCGAGGAGGAGGCUACUUUAGUUAAUACCUAGUGAUAGUGGACGUUACUCGCAGAAUAAGCACCGGCUAACUCUGUGCCAGCCGCCGCAGUAA